rnacentral:rRNA from 1 species
GACGUAGGGCGCGAGCGUUGUCCGGAUUUAUUGGGCGUAAAGAGCUCGUAGGCGGCUUGUCGCGUCGUCCGUGAAAACUUGGGGCUCAACCCCAAGCUUGCGGUCGAUACGGGCAGGCUAGAGUUCGGUAGGGGAGACUGGAAUUCCUGGUGUAGCGGUGAAAUGCGCAGAUAUCAGGAGGAACACCGGUGGCGAAGGCGGGAUCCUGGGCCAGUACUGACGCUGAGGAGCGAAAGCGUGGGGAGCAAACAGG